GUUAGGAAUAUUGGACAAUGGGCGAAAGCCUGAUCCAGCCAUGCCGCGUGAACGAUGAAGGCCUUCGGGUUGUAAAGUUCUUUAGCCGAUGAUUAUAAUGACUGUAGUCGGAAAAUAAGCCCCGGCUAACUUCGUGCCAGCAGCCGCGGUAAUACGAAGGGGGCGAGCGUUAUUCGGAAUCACUGGGCGUAAAGCGUGCGUAGGCGGUUUUGUAAGUUAGGAGUGAAAGCCCAGGGCUCAACGUUGGAAUUGCUCUGAAAACUGCAAGGCUCGAAUGUCGGAGAGGAUAGCGGAAUUUCCAGUGUAGCAGUGAAAUGCGUAGAUAUUGGAAGGAACACCAGUGGCGUAAGCGGCUAUCUGGACGAGUAUUGACGCUGAGUCACGAAAGCGUGGGGAUCAAACAGGAUUAGAAACCCCGGUAGUCC
rnacentral:rRNA from 1 species